ACGCAUGUGGCCAUGCCCCAUCUUUCCCAAGAGCCUGGAACACUUUAAUCCUUGAUGAAUAUUUUGCAAAGGGAUGAAGAGGAAACCAAGAACCGUGGGUAGAAGCCAGGUGGGUCAAGGCAAGCUUUUCAGCUGCCACAAUCCCAGCAUUCUCCUAUACUUACUGGGCUCCUUGCUACGCACACAGCUCCCACAGGUCCAAAGGAAGCAGAAGCAAAUGACCAUGGGCUGAGACAUUGAAAGCUAAGCCAAAUAAAAACCUUUUAUCUGA